AAUUUGUAAAAAUUAUAUUUUUCGUAAAAGUCCUUCCUGAGAGUGGAUCUAAAAAAUGUGAACAGUUCUCAUCCAAAUUUAAUAUGGUUUCGUUUUUUAGUAUGUAGGUGCCAUGGAUGGCGAAUUGUGCAUUCUGCUAUUAAGAACCAGAAGGAUCUUUUGAAGAUUUUCAUCCUCCAGCUC
rfam:Glossina palpalis gambiensis isolate 146720 unplaced genomic scaffold Scaffold21, whole genome shotgun sequence.